UACAGAGGGUGCAAGCGUUAAUCGGAAUUACUGGGCGUAAAGCGUGCGCAGGCGGUUUUGUAAGUCAGAUGUGAAAAUCCCCGGGCUCAACCUGGGAACUGCGUUUGAAACUACAAGGCUAGAGUGUAGAAGAGGGGGGUAGAAUUCCACGUGUAGCAGUGAAAUGCGUAGAGAUGUGGAGGAAUACCGAUGGCGAAGGCAGCCCCUCGGGCUAACACUGACGCUCAUGCACGAAAGCGUGGGGAGCAAACAGGAUUAGAACCU
rnacentral:rRNA from 1 species